AUCACCAGGGCAGGCCUCCCUUGCCAGGACCUAGAGUUUGUUCAGUUCCACCCCACAGGCAUAUAUGGUGCUGGUUGUCUCAUUACGGAAGGAUGUCGUGGAGAGGGAGGCAUUCUCAUUAACAGUCAAGGUGAAAGGUUUAUGGAGCGAUACGCCCCCGUCGCGAAGGACCUGGCGUCUAGAGAUGUGGUGUCUCGUUCGAUGACUCUGGAGAUCCGAGAAGGAAGGUGCGUGUGAUUUACCACCAGCACUGUCUGAGCGGGAACACGGGCCGGGAUUGCUUCUGUGAGUUUCAGCACUGCUCGCCCUCACCUUCGUGUGCAGGCACACGUGUACAGCCACCUCUCUCAGCUGCGGGCAGGCGUCUGUUAGUCUGUGAUAUUUUUCUAAAGACCUACAUUUUGAAAAUUUUAGCCAGUUUCUUUCUCAAAUCUGUGGAACAGAGUUUCUCUUAGUGUGUGUGAGUAUGUGACGGAGUAUGGGAGAGAGAGACACACACCCAACCUGAAGUCGGCACGUGAGCCUUGGGUGUUGUGUCUGAUACCCACAGAUGUUUUUCAGCAGCUUUCAAAGUGUGUGGGUUAUUUGGCUUUCAGCAAAACAAUUUACAGCUCUUUCAUUGCCUCACCCUAUUCUUUAAUGUAAUGACACUUGCUAAAUAUCUGCUGGUAUGGCCUUUAGAGGUUUUACAUUUUUAUAUUUAAAAAAACAGAAGUCAGGUGUGAGCCACCACGCCUGGCCUACUUCCCUCUCUUUCUCUGACCUGCAGCACAGACACCCUGUUGAGGGAGGUGGACUUAUGGAGGCAUGGGCACCUUGACAUUUCACCUGAAAUCUUCCUUUCCACAGGUCCUGAGGCACGUGAAUGGCCAGGAUCAGAUUGUGCCCGGCCUGUACGCCUGUGGGGAGGCCGCCUGUGCCUCGGUACAUGGUGCCAACCGCCUCGGGGCAAACUCGCUCUUGGACCUGGUUGUCUUUGGUCGGGCAUGUGCCCUGAGCAUUGAAGAGUCAUGCAGACCUGUCAAUGCAAAAUCAUGCUGCCGUGUUCCGUGUGGGAAGCGUGUUGCAGGAAGGUUGUGGGAAAAUCAGCAAGCUCUAUGGAGACCUAAAGCACCUGAAGACGUUCGACCGGGGAAUGGUCUGGAACACGGACCUGGUGGAGACCCUGGAGCUGCAGAACCUGAUGCUGUGUGCGCUGCAGACCAUCUAUGGAGCAGAGGCGCGGAAGGAGUCACGGGGUGCGCACGCCAGGGAAGACUACAAGGUGCGGAUUGAUGAGUACGAUUACUCCAAGCCCAUCCAGGGGCAACAGAAGAAGCCCUUUGAGGAGCACUGGAGGAAGCACACCCUGUCCUAUGUGGACGUCAGCACUGGGAAGGUCACCCUGGAAUAUAGACCCGUAAUCGACAAAACUUUGAACGAGGCUGACUGUGCCACCGUCCCCCCAGCCAUUCGCUCCUACUGAUGAGACAAGAUGCGGUGAUGACAGAAUCAGCUUUUGUAAUUAUGUAUAAUAGCUCAUGCAUGUGUCCGUGUCAUAACUGUCUUCAUACGCUUCUGCACUCCGGGGAAGGAGGAGUACAUUGAAGGGAGAUUGGCACCCAGGCUGGGAGCUUGCCAGGAACCCAGUGGCCAGGGAGUGUGGCACUUACCUUUGUCCCUUGCUUCAUUCUUGUGAGAUGAUAAAAUUG
rnacentral:sRNA from 1 species